UACAGAGGUCCCAAGCGUUGUUCGGAUUCAUUGGGCGUAAAGGGUGCGUAGGCGGCGCGGUAAGUCGGGUGUGAAAUCUCGGGGCUUAACUCCGAAACUGCAUUCGAUACUGCCGUGCUUGAGGACUGGAGAGGAGACUGGAAUUUACGGUGUAGCGGUGAAAUGCGUAGAUAUGCGGAGGAACACCGAUGGCGAAGGCAAUCCCCUGGGCCUGCACUGACGCUCAUGCACGAAAGCGUGGGGAGCAAACAGG
rnacentral:rRNA from 1 species